GACGAACGCUGGCGGCGUGCCUAAUACAUGCAAGUUGAGCGCUGAAGGUUGGUACUUGUACCCACUGGAUGAGCAGCGAACGGGUGAGUAACGCGUGGGGAAUCUGCCUUUGAGCGGGGGACAACAUUUGGAAACGAAUGCUAAUACCGCAUAAAAACUUUAAACACAAGGUUUAAGUUUGAAAGAUGCAAUUGCAUCACUCAAAGAUGAUUCCGCGUUGUAUUAGCUAGUUGGUGAGGUAAAGGCUCACCAAGGCGAUGAUACAUAGCCGACCUGAGAGGGUGAUCGGCCACAUUGGGACUGAGACACGGCCCAAACUCCUACGGGAGGCGGCAGUAGGGAAUCGUCGGCAAUGGACGAAAGGCUGACCGAGCAACGCCGCGUGAGUGAAGAAGGUUUUCGGAUCGUAAAACUCGGUUGGUAGAGAAGAACGUUGGUGAGAGUGGAAAGCUCAUCAAGUGACGGUAACUACCCAGAAAGGGACGGCUAACUACGUG
rnacentral:rRNA from 1 species